UGGGGAAUAUUGCACAAUGGGCGCAAGCCUGAUGCAGCCAUGCCGCGUGUAUGAAGAAGGCCUUCGGGUUGUAAAGUACUUUCAGCGGGGAGGAAGGGAGUAAAGUUAAUACCUUUGCUCAUUGACGUUACCCGCAGAAGAAGCACCGGCUAACUCCGUGCCAGCAGCCGCGGUAAUACGGAGGGUGCAAGCGUUAAUCGGAAUUACUGGGCGUAAAGCGCACGCAGGCGGUUUGUUAAGUCAGAUGUGAAAUCCCCGGGCUCAACCUGGGAACUGCAUCUGAUACUGGCACGCUUGAGUCUCGUAGAGGGGGGUAGAAUUCCAGGUGUAGCGGUGACAUGCGUAGAGAUCUGGAGGAAUACCGGUGGCGAAGGCGGCCCCCUGGACGAAGACUGACGCUCAGGUGCGAAAGCGUGGGGAGCAAACAGG
rnacentral:rRNA from 1 species